AUUGAACGCUGGCGGCAGGCCUAACACAUGCAAGUCGAGCGGAUGAAGGGAGCUUGCUCCUCGCUUCAGCGGCGGACGGGUGAGUAAUGCCUAGGAAUCUGCCUGGUAGUGGGGGAUAACGUCCGGAAACGGGCGCUAAUACCGCAUACGUCCUGAGGGAGAAAGUGGGGGAUCUUCGGACCUCACGGUAUCAGAUGAGCCUAGGUCGGAUUAGCUAGUUGGUGGGGUAAAGGCCUACCAAGGCGACGAUCCGUAACUGGUCUGAGAGGAUGAUCCGUCACACUGGAACUGAGACACGGUCCAGACUCCUACGGGAGGCAGCAGUGGGGAAUAUUGGACAAUGGGCGAAAGCCUGAUCCAGCCAUGCCGCGUGUGUGAAGAAGGUCUUCGGAUUGUAAAGCACUUUAAGUUGGGAGGAAGGGCAGUAAGUUAAUACCUUGCUGUUUUGACGUUACCAACAGAAUAAGCACCGGCUAACUUCGUG
rnacentral:rRNA from 1 species